CACCGCGGUUAUACGAGGGGUUCAAGUUGAUGUCUGUCGGCGUAAAGAGUGAUUACAGGAGAAUAUAUAACUAAAGCCGAAGACCCCUUGGGCUGUUUUACGCAUCUGGGGGCUAUUAAGCUCUUUAACGAAGGUAGCUUUAAAAGAUUAUAUCCUCGAGUUCACGAUAGCUAAGGUA
rnacentral:rRNA from 1 species